rnacentral:rRNA from 1 species
AUUGAACGCUGGCGGAAUGCUUUACACAUGCAAGUCGAACGGCAGCACGGACUUCGGUCUGGUGGCGAGUGGCGAACGGGUGAGUAAUGUAUCGGAACGUGCCCAGUCGUGGGGGAUAACAUAGUGAAAAUUACGCUAAUACCGCAUACGAUCUAUGGAUGAAAGCGGGGGAUCGCAAGACCUCGCGCGAUUGGAGCGGCCGAUAUCAGAUUAGGUAGAUGGUGGGGUAAAGGCCCACCAAGCCAACGAUCUGUAGCUGGUCUGAGAGGACGACCAGCCAAACGGGAACGGAGACACGGUCCAGACUCCUACGGGAGGCAGCAGUGGGGAAUUUUGGACAAUGGGCGAAAGCCUGAUCCAACCAUUCCGCGUGCAGGAUGAAGGCCCUCGGGUUGUAAACUGCUUUUGUACAGAACGAAAAGGUUUCUACUAAUACUAGGAGCUCAUGACGGUACUGUAAGAAUAAGCACCGGCUAACUACGUGCCAGCCGCCGCAGUAACAC